UACGUAGGGCGCGAGCGUUGUCCGGAAUUAUUGGGCGUAAAGAGCUCGUAGGCGGCCGGUUGCGUCUGCUGUGAAAUCCCGGGGCUUAACCCCGGGCGUGCAGUGGAUACGGGCCGGCUGGAGGCAGGCAGGGGAGAAUGGAAUUCCCGGUGUAGCGGUGAAAUGCGCAGAUAUCGGGAGGAACACCGGUGGCGAAGGCGGGUCUCUGGGAAGUAACUGACGCUGAGAAGCGAAAGCGUGGGUAGCGAACAGG
rnacentral:rRNA from 1 species